GUCUUUUUGAAUUUAAUUUAAAGUCUAAUCUGCCCUAUGAAAAAUUUUAAAUGGCCGCAGUAUCCUGACUGUGCAAAGGUAGCAUAAUAAUUUGUCUUUUAAUUAAAGGCUGGUAUGAAGGAUUGAACGAAGUAUAAACUGUCUCUAUUUAAUUAAAUAUUUGAAUUUAAUUUUUAAGUUAAAAAGCUUAAAUUUAUUUAAAGGACGAGAAGACCCUAUAGAGUUUAAUUAUGAAAUUUAUAUUAAAUUUUAAUUUUAUUUUAUUAUAUGUAUUUAUAAUUUUAUUGGGGCGAUUGAAAAAUUUAAUAAACUUUUUUAUUUAAUUUAACAUUUGUAAGUGAAUUUUUGAUCCUAUUUUUUAGAUUAAUAGAUUAAAUUACCUUAGGGAUAACAGCGUUAUUUUUUUUAGAGUUCUUAUCGAUAAUAAAGAUUGCGACCUCGAUGUUGGAUUAAAAUUUAAUUUUGGUGGAGAAGCUAAAAUUUUAGGUCUGUUCGACCUUUGAAAUUUUACA
rnacentral:rRNA from 1 species